UAAUUCAUAUGCGCCGUUCAUCUCUUAUUCACUCUCUAGGUUUUAUCAUUUGUAUUUGUUUGUUUUCUCUUCUUUAAGCUUUCAAGUUACUCAGCCAAAUGAUGAAUCUUCGAAUUGCCGAGUACUCAAACAUUGAUUUGAAUACUGUGAAUCAGCAUUUGAAUAGGAAGAUCUGAUGCAUACUUUUUUCGUUUUUCUUUUAAACUCGUGGAUAACAAAUAUAUUGCAUCUGCGUGCUUUUUCAUGUUUUCUUUUACAUUUUUAUUUAUUUAUGAACUGGUAUUCGGCUAAUUACGUUUAUAUUUGUAGCCGAUGAUGCAGACAAUAUUGAGACUUUCUGAAAUGCAAAUUGUUGCGUUUUUGUGUUGAAAACUUUGAACUAGGACGGUCUGAGGCUACUAUAAUCGAUUAGUACAUUGUUUUUUUUCAUUUUUUAAAAACGUAUUGUAUAUUUUGGUGUUUAGAUUUGUGAUUUGAUUUUGAAAUCCCCAAACAGUGUUCUGGAUGAUGAGAAAAAUAUUUUUACAGUUAUCCCUGACAUAGAAUAUAUGUGCUGAAAAUAUUUUAUCUGACACACUG